rnacentral:rRNA from 1 species
CAGCAGCCGCGGUAAUACGAAGGGUGCAAGCGUUACUCGGAAUUACUGGGCGUAAAGGGAGCGUAGGCGGACAUUUAAGUCAGGGGUGAAAUCCCGGGGCUCAACCUCGGAAUUGCCUUUGAUACUGGGUGUCUUGAGUAUGAGAGUGGUAUGUGGAACUCCGAGUGUAGAGGUGAAAUUCGUAGAUAUUCGGAAGAACACCAAUGGCGAAGGCGACAUACUGGCUCAUUACUGACGCUGAGGCUCGAAAGCGUGGGGAGCAAACAGGAUUAGAUACCCCAGUAGUCCCUGUCUCUUAUAA